rnacentral:rRNA from 1 species
CAAUAGCGUAUAUUAAAGUUGUUGCAGUUAAAAAGCUCGUAGUUGGAUUUGUGGCGUACGGUGUGUUCCUGGCACUUGUUGUCUGAGUAACCUGCUGUUGCCAUCCUUGGGUGGAACCUGUGUGGCAUUAGGUUGUCGUGCAGGGGAUGCCCAUCAUUUACUGUGAAAAAAUUAGAGUGUUCAAAGCAGGCUUAUGCCGUUGAAUAUAUUAGCAUGGAAUAAUGAGAUAGGACUUUUUUGCUAUUUUGUUGGUUUGCGCAAAGAGGUAAUGAUUAAUAGGGACAGUUGGGGGUAUUCGUAUUCCAUUGUCAGAGGUGAAAUUCUUGGAUUUUUGGAAGACGAACUACUGCGAAAGCAUUUACCAAGGAUGUUUUCAUUAA